rnacentral:rRNA from 1 species
UGCCAGCAGCCGCGGUAAUACGAAGGGGGCUAGCGUUGUUCGGAAUUACUGGGCGUAAAGCGCGCGUAGGCGGUGUUCCAUGUCAGAGGUGAAAUCCCGGAGCUCAACUUCGGAAUUGCCUUUGAAACGGGGACACUUGAGUCCGAGAGAGGAUGGCGGAAUUCCUAGUGUAGAGGUGAAAUUCGUAGAUAUUAGGAAGAACACCGGUGGCGAAGGCGGCCAUCUGGCUCGGUACUGACGCUCAGGUGCGAAAGCGUGGGGAGCAAACAGGAUUAGAUA